UGGGGAAUAUUGCACAAUGGGCGCAAGCCUGAUGCAGCCAUGCCGCGUGUAUGAAGAAGGCCUUCGGGUUGUAAAGUACUUUCAGCGGGGAGGAAGGGAGUAAAGUUAAUACCUUUGCUCAUUGACGUUACCCGCAGAAGAAGCACCGGCUAACUCCGUGCCAGCAGCCGCGGUAAUACGGAGGGUGCAAGCGUUAAUCGGAAUUACUGGGCGUAAAGCGCACGCAGGCGGUUUGUUAAGUCAGAUGUGAAAUCCCCGGGCUCAACCUGGGAACUGCAUCUGAUACUGGCAAGCUUGAGUCUCGUAGAGGGUGGUAGAAUUCCAGGUGUAGCGGUGAAAUGCGUAGAGAUCUGGAGGAAUACCGGUGGCGAAGGCGGCCCCCUGGACGAAGACUGACGCUCAGGUGCGAAAGCGUGGGGAGCAAACAGG
rnacentral:rRNA from 1 species